rnacentral:rRNA from 1 species
UGGAUCCAGACUUUGAUCCUGGCUCAGGAUGAACGCUGGCGGCGUGCUUAACACAUGCAAGUCGAACGGGGUUAUCAUUUUUGAAGCGAUUAGCUUGCUAAGAGUGGAAAUGUUGAUAACUUAGUGGCAGACGGGUGAGUAACGCGUGGGUAACCUGCCUUACACAGGGGGAUAACACUUAGAAAUAGGUGCUAAUACCGCAUAAGCGCACAGAGCCGCAUGGUUCCGUGUGAAAAACUCCGGUGGUGUAAGAUGGACCCGCGUCUGAUUAGCUGGUUGGCGGGGUAGAGGCCCACCAAGGCGACGAUCAGUAGCCGGCCUGAGAGGGUGGACGGCCACAUUGGGACUGAGACACGGCCCAAACUCCUACGGGAGGCAGCAGUGGGGGAUAUUGGACAAUGGGGGGAACCCUGAUCCAGCGACGCCGCGUGAGUGAAGAAGUAUUUCGGUAUGUAAAGCUCUAUCAGCAGGGAAGAAAGAAAUGACGGUACCUGAGUAAGAAGCCCCGGCUAACUACGUGCCAGCAGCCGCGGUAAUACGUAGGGGGCAAGCGUUAUCCGGAAUUACUGGGUGUAAAGGGAGCGUAGACGGUAAAGCAAGUCUGGAGUGAAAGGCCGGGGCCCAACCCCGGGACUGCUCUGGAAACUGUUAAACUGGAGUGCAGGAGAGGCAGGCGGAAUUCCUAGUGUAGCGGUGAAAUGCGUAGAUAUUAGGAGGAACACCAGUGGCGAAGGCGGCCUGCUGGACUGUAACUGACGUUGAGGCUCGAAAGCGUGGGGAGCAAACAGGAUUAGAUACCCUGGUAGUCCACGCCGUAAACGAUGAUUACUAGGUGUAGGUGGGUAUGGACCCAUCGGUGCCGCAGCCAACGCAGUAAGUAAUCCACCUGGGGAGUACGUUCGCAAGAAUGCAACUCAAAGGAAUUGACGGA